AGCACCUGGGCUCGGCCCCGGGCUCAGCACACAGCCCCGUCCGCUCGCAGCAGCCCCUCCUGCUUUUCCCGUGCUGGAAAGCACUCCCGUGCCCGGCCCCGCAUGCCUGUCCCACCCUUCCACAGCAGUGCCCACCCCGCCAGCGGCCGCGAUGAGCCAGCGGGGCGCCCGCAGCCCGGCCCUCGCGGCUCUCUGGCCUCUCCCGGGACACCGGGCCGUGACCAGCAACCGCCGGCCCUCAGGAGCUGCCAAGACAUCCCGACUUAGUAGAAACCUUAUUCUGCUCUGGCUGCUCAAAGACACUCGGCAGCAUCUACAGGUGCACCUCGAGGAGCCUCGACUACAAGAGAGAUUUGUUCUGUUUCACUAUUGACUCCGUUGAAAGCUAUAUUCUAGGCACCCCGGGAAAGCAAGCUGUCAUCCAUGAGGAGCCACUCACUCUGGAACGUCAAGCUGUCUUGGAGGAGGUGCUGGAAAGGGCUGUACCUGCUGAAAGGCUGAGGUGACACCAGGAUCCGUGAAAUCCCUGACUCCCCGUGCCUUCCCGAGGCUGAAGCCACGUUUGCUGUCAGGGACCAGAGAGUGGAAGAUGCUAAAGACUGAAAACUUGGCAUUUUUUCUCCUGAAUCCCAAGACUCUCUGCCCCUGUACACUGUCUAUCUCUUAAAAGAGUUUCUGGCUUUUUAAAGUUUUUUACAUUCUGCAAUAUUUAUCCGUAACUCCAUUAAAAAGAGUCAUACUGUAUCA